rnacentral:lncRNA from 1 species
ACGGUUAAGCCGGGAAAACAACUGAUGGUUUUAGGAGGGAAGAAAACCCUUGGGGAAACGCCCAGAGCCUGCGUAUAUUCCGGCCCGAGCAUCCUGGCGCCCGUUUGUGGGAGGGAGGGGCAGCGGGGAGGGUCUGGGU